CCUACGGGUGGCUGCAGUGGGGAAUUUUGGACAAUGGGGGCAACCCUGAUCCAGCCAUUCCGCGUGAGUGAAGAAGGCCUUCGGGUUGUAAAGCUCUUUCGGCAGGAACGAAACGACGGGCUCUAACAUAGCCUGUCAAUGACGGUACCUGAAGAAGAAGCACCGGCUAACUACGUGCCAGCAGCCGCGGUAAUACGUAGGGUGCGAGCGUUAAUCGGAAUGACUGGGCGUGACUCUUGAGCAGGCGUCUGAAAGCCCCGGGCUUAACCUGGGAACUGCGCUUGUGACUGCAAGGCUCGAGUGCGGCAGAGGGGGGUGGAAUGCCACGUGUAGCAGUGAAAUGCGUAGAGAUGUGGAGGAACACCGAUGGCGAAGGCAGCCCCCUGGGUCGACACUGACGCUCAUGCACGAAAGCGUGGGUAGCAAACAGGAUUAGAUACCCCGGUAGUC
rnacentral:rRNA from 1 species